CCCGCCGGCCGACCGGCGCACGGUGGAGUAGCACGUAUGAAACCUACGCCCGUACGCAGGGGGGAUAAGCGGAAGAAAUUCCGUCUAAUACCGCGUAACAACCCAUGGAGGCAUCUCUGUGGGUUUAAAGGAAGCGAUUCCGGCUACGGAUGGUCAUGCGUCGCAUUAGCUUGUUGGCGGGGUAACGGCCCACCAAGGCGACGAUGCGUAGGGGUUCUGAGACGGAAGGUCCCCCCCACUGGUACUGAGACACGGACCAGACUCCUACGGGAGGCAGCAG
rnacentral:rRNA from 1 species